GGAGGGAGAGACUCAGAGAGGAGACACACGCUCCGGGAGAGCGCGAGGUGUAGAGAGGAGACAGUGACCGGAGCGGGCUUUGUCUGUUGGUCUCCCUGGACUGAAGAGAGGGAGGGUGCAAGGCCAAGACUGUUACGAUUCUCAAAAUGGUGUGUUACCCAGAGCUCUCUGUCUGGGUCAGUCAAGAACCAUUUCCAAAUACGGAAAUGGAGGGAAGGCUUCCUAAGGGAAGACUUCCGAUCCCAAAGGAAGUGAACCGCAAGAAGGAUGACCAGAUGAAGGUGGCCUCCCUGACUCCACCUGGCAGCAGUGAACUCCACGCCGCAGGCACCAGUUACCUCCACUCUUUUUAAUCGUCACACCUCCAUUUGUAUUACAUAUGGUGUAUGGGUAUUGAUGAGGUCAUGGUAUCAUAUAUGGGAUUUUUUUCUGUGUAAAUCAUCAAGUAUAAGAAGAAACUAUGGGACUCUGAGCCUUGCUUUAGAGAAUUUACAGUGGACAAAUAGGUAUCAUCAAACCAGUUUUUACUCAUUCUGACUCAAGUGAAACGCUCAGAAUUUCACACUGUGAAUCCACGUUUACAACCCUUCCAGGUGGGCCUUCAGGCCUGGUUCUCGACAACGAUGUCUUCCACAACUCAAACUCCCUCUGCUCUCACACAACCGGUCCACUCCUGCCUUCUCACUCACACUGCUCCAGAAUGCUUCUCGCAGAGGCUGAGAGUCCCCAUUUUUUUUUUUUCAUUUAGAUGUAACAAGCCUAGUAGUUUAUGUUCAUCGAUUGUCUGUAUAUCUCUAUAUUUUAUCCAUGUACUCUUUUGAUGUAUAGAAGUAGUUUGAAACUCAUUGUUUCCUUGUGGUAAGUGACCGAGAUGCUGCCACAGGACCUGAGACACUGAUGAAUGGUGCUAUUUUGGACUUUCAACAUGCUCCUUGGCGAGGUAGCUCUGAUGGAGUUAUAUUUUAUUUCCAUGUUCUAAGAAGGUGUUGGUACUCUGUUUCCCUGAAUGUUGUUCUCUAGACUGGAUUGACUUGUUCUCCUUGUGUCUUCAGUGUGGCUUUCUUCUUCAGCGCUGUAGGUUGAGUGAAUGCUACCAGAGAGAGUAAGAGACUCGCGUCUCAUCGGCGGGCACUCACAGACGUGCAGUCCCUGUCGCGGGAGCAAUCACAAAACUGUAAUUUACUUACCAAAUCUCUUCUUUUUGGUAGCCUCGCCUGCCUAGCUUAGAGAAAGAAAAGCAAUAAUUUGACAGGCGUUUUUAGGUGUCUCUUUUGGUUCUUUUUGUUUGAAAGGAUAUUCGGGGGGAAAAAGAGGGCCAACUUUUAAAAUAAAUGCCCUCUGGAAAAAAAAAUCCAAAAAACUGGCAUUUGAGUAGGAAUCUGCAAAUUCGCACCUUUCCUGAAAAUCAAGUUGGAAAAAAAUGUCUUUAUAAAAUUAAAAAAAAAAAAAGGCAGAGCACUUCUUUUCUGGCAGUUUUUGAUAAGCAAGGUGUAGACUUUACAUUUUUGUCCUUGCUCCCAAUGAAAUGGAUCAACAAAAAAGAAAACCAGACAAUACCAUCUACUCAUGGAUUGUUGUUGUGUUAGCCAGUCUGAAAGCCCACCUUAAUUUUUAUAUAAUCGUCUUUGGCUCUUCCCGUCGGGGCAGGCUUGGUCCCACGCUGUGCCCUCCUGACUGUUAACCCCAAGAUGCAUGCGCCGCCCUUCUUCCUACUCUUCUCGCUCCCCCCUUGACCUGAGUCUCUUGUGCAUCUUCCCGCUCCCUCCUUGGUUAGAAUAGGUCUAUCAGCUGUGUAAAUAGAGCAAGAAAACCGUAUUCUGCAUCUGUGGCAUUUACGUAGAGUUGCGGUUGUAUGCUGCUGACAACGCAGGCUUUUGUAAAAAAAACAAUGUGAUCUUGACUGAUGCACUCACAACAAGUACCCAGUGUAUUUCAGCUAUUUUAGUAGUAUUUGUUCAAUAAACAUGCAAGCUGUAAG
rnacentral:lncRNA from 1 species